CUAAUACCGGAUGAUGUCUUCGGACCAAAGAUUUAUCGGCAAGGAUGAGCCCGCGUAGGAUUAGGUAGUUGGUGGGGUAAAGGCCUACCAAGCCGACGAUCCUUAGCUGGUCUGAGAGGAUGAUCAGCCACACUGGGACUGAGACACGGCCCAGACUCCUACGGGAGGCAGCAGUGGGGAAUAUUGGACAAUGGGCGAAAGCCUGAUCCAGCAAUGCCGCGUGAGUGAUGAAGGCCUUCGGGUCGUAAAGCUCUUUUACCAGGGAUGAUAAUGACAGUACCUGGAGAAUAAGCUCCGGCUAACUCCGUG
rnacentral:rRNA from 1 species